AGAGUUUGAUCCUGGCUCAGGAUGAACGCUGGCGGCAUGCCUAAUACAUGCAAGUCGAACGAGAGGAAGGAAAGCUUGCUUUUCUGAAUCUAGUGGCGAACGGGUGAGUAACACGUAGGUAACCUGCCCAUGUGCCCGGGAUAACUUCUGGAAACGGAUGCUAAAACCGGAUAGGUAGCAGACAAGCAUUUGACUGCUAUUAAAGUGGCUAAGGCCAUGAACAUGGAUGGACCUGCGGUGCAUUAGCUAGUUGGUGAGGUAACGGCCCACCAAGGCGACGAUGCAUAGCCGGCCUGAGAGGGCGGACGGCCACAUUGGGACUGAGACACGGCCCAAACUCCUACGGGAGGCAGCAGUAGGGAAUUUUCGUCAAUGGGGGGAACCCUGAACGAGCAAUGCCGCGUGAGUGAGGAAGGUCUUCGGAUCGUAAAGCUCUGUUGUAAGAGAAAAACGACAUUCAUAGGGAAUGAUGAGUGAGUGAUGGUAUCUUACCAGAAAGUCACGGCUAACUACGUGCCAGCAGCCGCGGUAAUACGUAGGUGGCGAGCGUUAUCCGGAAUGAUUGGGCGUAAAGGGUGCGUAGGUGGCAGAACAAGUCUGGAGUAAAAGGUAUGGGCUCAACCCGUACUGGCUCUGGAAACUGUUCAGCUAGAGAACAGAAGAGGACGGCGGAACUCCAU
rnacentral:rRNA from 1 species